AGGGCGUGAUCAGGAUCACACCCGAGCUCCCAGGCUCAGGGGGCCCUCCCUCGGGCUGCAGGAGGGCAGUCUCAUGUGCCCCGCCUUAGUAGUGGUAAAGCUUGAUGUCUGUCCAGCCCAAGGGCUUGACAGCAUCCACUUUCUGCAACCCUUGACCCCUGGUGCCCAGAGGUCCCCACUGCCCUUUAUCCACUGGGACGCUUCCCCAAGGAUGGAGAGGACAGAAAGACCACUGAUGUGUUCAGCCCACGCGCAGUCAGGCCGCUCUCCAGGCAGGAGCUGCACUCGAAGUUCUUGUACCUCUCUCAACAGUCCAAGGGGGCGGUGUCGUUACCGACUCCAUUUCACAGAGCGGAAAACCGAGGCCUAGAGAAGUCAUGUGACUGCUGGAGGAUGCUUGGCUUCGAGGGAACACAGCCGUGUUAUAAUCACCAUCCUCUCCAGUCCUGAGGUGCUGGCUUUCACCGAGCUGUUUCUUGGGCCAACUCUGGCCCCUCAGCUGGGCUUCCUCCUCCCUCUCCAACGGCACCUUCGCCUGCUCUUCCUGCCUGUGCUCCUCGAAAGUGCGACUGGGCACCUGUCCUGCCUUCCAGGGUCACUGACUCCUCCUACCUGUCACCAUCCCUCAUCUGCAGUCACCAAAUCCAUCAGAAGACCCUCCCCAUGUCUUUUCUUUCUCUGCUCCUGGUACCCCGUCCGACUCCAGCCCAGGGCCCCUAAAGGAGGACUUGGAGACCCUUCCCCGUGAACCCAUGUAGACCACCUGACCCACAGGGCAUCCCCACCAAGCGUGACUGACAGGAGUGGACAACCAACCCACAAAUUGGUCUGUGACGGUGACUGGGAGUUGGGCUCAGAAAGACAACCCGUGUCAGGCCCCAGUGCAUGCUUGUGAGAAAUGCCACCUGCUUGUCACUUGGCCAUAGUUCCAGCAGAGAAGAGAGGCAGUGGCAGCUGCCUUGGUCCUACUUGUGGGUGGGUGUCUCUUCCAACUUCUUCUAGGACAGUAGGUAGCGGGAGAGGUCGGGGAGGACUUCACGGUUACAAGCUUCAAAGCAGUCUAAAAAGACGCGCUGGUCAGCAGAGAGCUGACCAGCCAGUGCCACCAACAUCCGAUUAGCACUUGGUAUUAUUUGGAAUAAGAAUGAAAGAGACUUGGUGGAAAACCCCUCUUUUUUUUUUGCGAAGUCUGUCCCUUGGAGAGGCUCAUUGCAUUUCUUAUAAAAACAACCAACUAGAGCCAGCCGGCCCUGAUGGCCUAGUGGUUAAAGUUGGGCACACUCUACUUCAGGGGCCUGGAUCCCGCACCCAGGAACCACACCACCCAUCCGUCAGUAGCCAUGCUGUGGUGGCAGCUCACAUAGAAAAACUAGAAGGACUUACAACUAGAAUAUACCACCAUGCACUGGGGCUUUGGGGAGGGAGAAAAAAAAGAAAGAUUGGCAACAGACGUCAGCUCAGGGUGAAUAUUUCCCUGCAAAAAAAGAAAAGAACCAACUAGUUUAUAGCCUGGUAGGGAGAAGGGAGUCUCCUGGUUCGAGGACUGGGAAGCGUCCUAACCUGCUGGGCUCUGUUUUUCCUGGGGUGCUGCCCCAUCUGCCCCUCACU
ensembl:lncRNA